rnacentral:rRNA from 1 species
CACGUAGGCACCAAGCGUUGUCCGGAUUUAUUGGGCGUAAAGAGCUCGUAGGCGGUUCGGUUAGUCGGGUGUGAAAACUUUGGGCUCAACCCAAAGCGUGCACUCGAUACUGCCGUGACUAGAGUUCGGUAGGGGAGUGGGGAAUUCCUAGUGUAGCGGUGAAAUGCGCAGAUAUUAGGAGGAACACCGGUGGCGAAGGCGCACUCUGGGCCGAAACUGACGCUGAGGAGCGAAAGCGUGGGUAGCAAACAGG